rnacentral:rRNA from 1 species
CAUGGCUCAGAUUGAACGCUGGCGGAAUGCUUUACACAUGCAAGUCGAACGGCAGCACGGGGGCAACCCUGGUGGCGAGUGGCGAACGGGUGAGUAAUACAUCGGAACGUGCCCAGUCGUGGGGGAUAACGUAGCGAAAGCUACGCUAAUACCGCAUACGAACUCAGGUUGAAAGCGGGGGAUCGCAAGACCUCGCGCGAUUGGAGCGGCCGAUGGCAGAUUAGGUAGUUGGUGGGGUAAAGGCCUACCAAGCCGACGAUCUGUAGCUGGUCUGAGAGGACGACCAGCCACACUGGGACUGAGACACGGCCCAGACUCCUACGGGAGGCAGCAGUGGGGAAUUUUGGACAAUGGGCGCAAGCCUGAUCCAGCCAUUCCGCGUGCAGGAUGAAGGCCCUCGGGUUGUAAGCUGCUUUUGUACGGAACGAAAAGGCUCUGGUUAAUACCUGGGGCUCAUGACGGUACCGUAAGAAUAAGCACCGGCUAACUACGUGCCAGCAGCCGCGGUAAUACGUAGGGUGCAAGCGUUAAUCGGAAUUACUGGGGCGUAAAGCGUGCGCAGGCGGUGAUGUAAGACAGGUGUGAAAUCCCCGGGCUUAACCUGGGAACUGCAUUUGUGACUGCAUUGCUGGAGUGCGGCAGAGGGGGGAUGGAAUUCCGCGUGUAGCAGUGAAAUGCGUAGAUAUGCGGGAGGAACACCGAUGGCGAAGGCAAUCCCCUGGGGCCUGCACUGACGCUCAUGCACGAAAGCGUGGGGGAGCAAACAGGAUUAGAUAACCCCUGGGUAGUCCCACGCCCUAAACGAAUGUCAAGCUGGUUGUGGGUCCUUUCACUGNAUCAGGUAACGAAGCUAACGCGUGAAGGUGAACCGGCCCUGGAGAGUUACGGACGUCAAGGUUGAAACUCCANAGGAAAUG